rnacentral:rRNA from 1 species
UGCUUUUGUGCUCGAGGAUGGGACUGUACGGUAUCAGAUAGUUGGUGGGGUAAUGGCGUACCAAGUCAAUGACGCCUAACUGGUUUGAGAGGAUGAUCAGUCACACUGGAACUGAGACACGGUCCAGACUCCUACGGGAGGCAGCAGUGGGGAAUAUUGCACAAUGGAGGAAACUAUGAUGCAGCAACGCCGCGUGGAGGAUGACACAUUUCGGUGCGUAAACUCCUUUUAUAUAGGAAGAUAAUGACGGUACUAUAUGAAUAAGCGCCGGCUAACUCCGUGCCAGCAGCCGCGGUAAUACGGAGGGCGCAAGCGUUACUCGGAAUCACUGGGCGUAAAGAGCGUGUAGGCGGAUAGAUAAGUCAGAAGUGAAAUCCUAUGGCUCAACCAUAGAACUGCUUUUGAAACUGUUUAUCUAGAGUGUGGGAGAGGUAGAUGGAAUUUCUGGUGUAGGGGUAAAAUCCGUAGAGAUCAGAAGGAAUACCGAUUGCGAAGGCGAUCUACUGGAACAUAACUGACGCUGAGACGCGAAAGCGUGGGGAGCAAACAGGAUUAGAUACCCUGGUAGUCCACGCCCUA